CUGAGGCGCGAAAGCGUGGGGAGCAAACAGGAUUAGAUACCCCUGGUAGUCCACGCCGUAAACGAUGAGUGCUAAGUGUUAGAGGGUUUCCGCCCUUUAGUGCUGCAGCUAACGCAUUAAGCACUCCGCCUGGGGAGUACGGCCGCAAGGCUGAAACUCAAAGGAAUUGACGGGGGCCCGCACAAGCGGUGGAGCAUGUGGUUUAAUUCGAAGCAACGCGAAGAACCUUACCAGGUCUUGACAUCCUCUGACAACCCUAGAGAUAGGGCUUUCCCCUUCGGGGGACAGAGUGACAGGUGGUGCAUGGUUGUCGUCAGCUCGUGUCGUGAGAUGUUGGGUUAAGUCCCGCAACGAGCGCAACCCUUGUCCUUAGUUGCCAGCAUUCAGUUGGACACUCUAAGGAGACUGCCGGUGACAAACCGGAGGAAGGUGGGGAUGACGUCAAAUCAUCAUGCCCCUUAUGACCUGGGCUACACACGUGCUACAAUGGAUGGUACAAAGGGCUGCGAGACCGCGAGGUUUAGCCAAUCCCAUAAAACCAUUCUCAGUUCG
rnacentral:rRNA from 1 species